CCUACGGGAGGCAGCAGUGGGGAAUAUUGCGCAAUGGGCGAAAGCCUGACGCAGCGACGCCGCGUGAGGGAUGAAGGCCUUCGGGUUGUAAACCUCUUUCAGCAGGGACGAAAACAGACGGUACCUGCAGAAGAAGCACCGGCCAACUACGUGCCAGCAGCCGCGGUAAUACGUAGGGUGCAAGCGUUGUCCGGAAUUAUUGGGCGUAAAGAGCUCGUAGGCGGUUUGUCGCGUCGGCUGUGAAAACUCGGGGCUCAACCCCGAGCCUGCAGUCGAUACGGGCAGACUAGAGUGCUGUAGGGGAGACUGGAAUUCCUGGUGUAGCGGUGAAAUGCGCAGAUAUCAGGAGGAACACCGGUGGCGAAGGCGGGUCUCUGGGCAGUAACUGACGCUGAGGAGCGAAAGCGUGGGGAGCAAACAGGAUUAGAUACCCUGGUAGUCCACGCCGUAAACGGUGGGUGCUAGGUGUGAGCGGUAUUCCACGCCGUUCGUGCCGCAGCUACGCAUAAGACACCCGCCCGUCGGGGAGGUACGGGCCGGCCGAACGGACGUAAAACCGUAACCGAAACGGUAAAGUUAGUACGGCGUUGUAGACGUUGCCGAACGGACGACGACGAGGGGAGGUUAGG
rnacentral:rRNA from 1 species